rfam:Geobacillus caldoxylosilyticus NBRC 107762 DNA, contig: GCA01S072.
CCGUUUCGAUUUGUUGCGGACAAAUAAAGUGAAUAUGGGCAUCAAUUCCUCCUGCGGUGACAAUUUUCCCCUCCGCUGCAAUAAUUUCUGUCGCUGCUCCGAUGAUUAUAUUGACUCCAUCCAUUAACAACGGAUUGCCCGCUUUCCCGAUGGCAGCAAUCUUCCCGUCUUUAAUCCCUAUAUCGGCUUUAUAGAUUCCGGUAUAGUCUACAAUAAUCGCGUUCGUCAGCACUAAAUCUACCGAUUCCGCACGCUUGGCAAGCGGGUGUUGCCCCAUUCCAUCACGA